GGGCACAUGGCUUAGCUGGUUAAAGCGCUGCGUUCACAUCGCAGAGAUCAAAGGUUCGAAUCCUUUUGUGCCCACCA
rnacentral:tRNA from 1 species